UCUUCAUGUGCAUGUGCCUAUUGGCCAUUUGUAUAUCUUCCUUGCCAGACAUUGCCAAGUGUCCCCUGGGGGCAAAAUUGAGCCUGAAUUGAGAACUACUGGGAUUGUGUAGUACUUAACUGAGUUACUAUAUUCAAUGCACUUAGAACAGUACCUGAUUCAGAGGAAACACUCAAUAGUUCUUAGUGUUAUUGUUACAAGCAGGUGACAGAGGCA
rnacentral:lncRNA from 1 species